rnacentral:rRNA from 1 species
UACGGAGGGAGCUAGCGUUGUUCGGAAUUACUGGGCGUAAAGCGCGCGUAGGUGGUUCGUUAAGUCUGAUGUGAAAGCCCUGGGCUCAACCUGGGAAUUGCAUUGGAUACUGGCGGGCUAGAGUACGGUAGAGGGUGGCGGAAUUCCUGGUGUAGCAGUGAAAUGCGUAGAUAUCAGGAGGAACAUCCGUGGCGAAGGCGGCCACCUGGACCAGUACUGACACUGAGGCACGAAAGCGUGGGGAGCAAACAGG